rnacentral:lncRNA from 1 species
AAAAUUUUCUCCUCGGAUUUCCGAUCUUGGCUGGUUUGACUGAGUGAUGUUGUUUGGUUCCUUUCCCUUGUUUUCUUUCCUUUUCCCACUUUUUGAGGCCUUGUGCUGCUUUUGUUCUCUCUGGUACUACUGGUACCAAACUUUCCUUUGGUUAAUUUAAUUUCCAUCUUUCCUGAUAAAAAAAAAAAAAUUUGGACUAUACCUCACCACUUACUUUUCACCAUUCUCAAUACUAAUUACAACAUAUUUUCACCACUCUCAAUACACUCAACAAUAUUUUCUCACACUUAAUAACUUUUUUUUAAAACUUGUGUCACUCCCUCCUAAGAAGUUCUUUUGUGGACNGUUAUCAAUUAUCAUAGGUUAUCAUACUAUCUAAACAAAUACCUACUAAGAACGUUUCCUAAAAAGAAAAAAAAAAACAUCCCAUAAGAAGCAAACAAAACACACACGGCUUAUUUUCGUACCAUAUUACCAUAUGUUGUCAACGAUGUCAAUUCGAUUACAUUUACAUUUAUAGUUUGAAAAAUAUCAAAAUCAAUCGUAUCCUUGUUUCUCUAAGAAAUUAAUAUAUACAUUUGCGUAAGCAAGCAACUUGGUAAGGUUGCCAUUAUUAUCC